AAAUAAGUGAACUAUCAAGAGCAUCACUGUGCUUUUUAUUUAUCUCUUCUGUACUCGCUUUUAAUAGUAACAAUCACCACAGUGGCCAGACAUGUAAAAGUGCAAUUUUGAGAUGCAGUGAGCUUAUAACUCCAGGAGUUAUUUAUAUUUAGUUGUAUCUGCAGCUGUUCAACAUUCUGUGUUGGACUAUAUCUGAAAGGACUAUUAUUUCCUAAUGUUAAAAUAAGCUAAUGCAUCAGCUGUUUAUUUUAUUUAUUUUUAUAAAUAUAUACUGUUAGCCUGAUUACAUUGUCUGUGUACAUUGCCUACCAACAGCAGUGGUGUAAACCUUUGAGUUUGUUGAAUGAUAGAAGAGCCUGGAUUUACUCAUCCCAGUGACUACCAUAGCAGGCUGCACUGACUUUAAAAGGAUGGCACUGGGAUGUGUUCAGUUUCCACUGAGAUCAUCCUUAACGAGUUAUGUCACCUAGAUCCGGACUUAAAUCACUCUGAAGGCACAGAAGGACUUUCAGCUUAUGUCAGUGAGCACCUCCAGAGGAUACUGAGAGACUUUCAAGAUACUGGGAGAACUGACAAGUCUGAAAAUUGGAAAGAUUUUCCUAAAAAGGAGGAAAAGAAAGAUAAAGGUGAAAACUGGAAAAGAAAACAAAUGGAGAAGGGGAUCACAGGCAAUAAGCGGAUUCAAGGAUUCACAGAAACAAAGCAACAGGGAAUAUUGCAGUGGUUCGUUGAGUUGUAGCAAGUCCAGCCAUGAAGAUAACGACAUCUUGGAGCAUCCAGCAUACAGGUAGAGUCUGAAAAAGCUCUUACUCUUCAUACUGGAGAAGACUCAGAUGAGUCUUAACAAUGUGUAUCAAUACUUCACAGGGGGAGCAAAGAAGACCGAGUUAAACUCCUUAGUGGUACAAAGCAUCAGAACAAGGGGCAAUGGACACAAUUUGAAAUACAUCAAAUUACAAGUAAAAUAAAGAAAAACUCCUUUAGUGUAAAGGGGAUUAA
rnacentral:lncRNA from 1 species